GUCAUUUCACUCUACGGGAAGGCAAGCCACACCUUUCCCAAUAGGUUGAGGUCUUUGCAAGCAGGGACUGUGCCCCUUCUUUUCAUAAGCCCUGCUCCCAGUGUCUGGCCCAGGGUCAACACUGUAAAUGUCUGCAUGACCACCUGCCAACAUAUUCUUGCAGAUGAACUGGAGGAACCUCGGCCACUACUAUCGACCAUUCUCUCCUCUGGCUUCAGGAAGCAGUAUUUACUGCCUAUCAGAUAACUCUGAGAAGAUUCCUCACAUCUACAAGAGUGACAAGGGGCAGGUCCCACUAUUUUGAGGAGAACUGGUGUAUACCACUGUGGCCCCUCUUUUUGGCGCAUGACAAACCCCCCUCAAAACAGAUCAAGGCCUGAAGACUGGGUUUGAGAUGAGCUGAUAACCUGACUUUCUUGGACGAAAAGAGGGAAGAUGGUGUGUCCAGCUUGUUCUGUAUAGAUAAAUAUUCUUUCUCUGAAAUUAUGGAAUGAUUAGGGAUGAUUCUUUCUCUGAAAUUACGGAAAACAAAGCCAAAAAGAAAAAAAAGCUAGAAUUACGUUGUAGAAUAGAGGUAGACUCAGGUAUCUACCUUAUAGAACCCAAUCCUGACUCAGUGGAAGACAUUUCUGAUUGCCUUUUGGGUCUAGAUUGAGAAACUCAGAUUUUUUCAUGAUGCUGGAAACUAAUACUCCCAGGUCUGAGAAAGAGAGUGGGUCUACCCUGUGCUGAUGGUGCCACUCACUGCCCACUUCCCUGGGAGCCAUCUACCUUGUCCAUCAUCUUCUUGGUCUGCCCGUAUCUAAUUCGGAGCCGGCGGGCCUGAUAAUCUGUGCAAUUAGAACAGGAAACUAACUCUCGGAAGGCUCCUGAGCCUGGAAACCAGGCCUCCAAGUCGAGCUUCUUACUGGCAGCAUGAUUCAAAGAACCUGUAAGGAAAAACCCCUAGAAUUCAGGAAGGAGGGAUGGUAUUUCAGGAGGCCAAGCUCCAGUGAGCCCAAGGAAUUCUUUACUUCACAUCCCAUCCCCAGAAGUGAAAUCACGCCCUGACACUCUCCUCACCAGGCUCUCCCAAGUGAGAGGGGUGUGAUAUUUUAAUGAAUGUGGGUAAUGAACUGGAUUACAAGGCUGUGUGGCAGCUCAGCUGGUGAGGGUGGCAUCUGUGGAAUGUGAGAAAAGGAGGCUGAGAAGUUGAGGGGUCCCCUACCUGAGACAAUAUUCACUAUGUGGUAAGGGAUCCCCAAAGACUGAUAGAACUCUUCGGCGGUGGCAA